rnacentral:rRNA from 1 species
UUCCGGGUUGAUCCUGCCAGAGGUCACUGCUAUCAGUGUUCGACUAAGCCAUGCAAGUCAAAUGUUCUUCGUGAACAUGGCGGACUGCUCAGUAACACGUGGAUAACCUGCCCUUAGGAUUGGCAUAACACCGGGAAACUGGUGAUAAUACCGAAUAGACCAUUUAUGCUGGAAUGCUUUUUGGUUCAAAGGCUUCGGCUGCCUAAGGAUGGAUCUGCGGCCUAUCAGGUAGUAGUGGGUGUAAUGUACCUACUAGCCUACGACGGGUACGGGUUGUGAGAGCAAGAGCCCGGAGAUGGAUUCUGAGACAUGAAUCCAGGCCCUACGGGGCGCAGCAGGCGCGAAAACUUUACAAUGCGGGAAACCGCGAUAAGGGGACACUGAGUGCCAGCAUAUUAUGUUGGCUGUCCACAUGUAUAAAAACCAUGUGUUAGCAAGGGCCGGGCAAGACCGGUGCCAGCCGCCGCGGUAACACCGGCGGCCCGAGUGGUGAUCACUUUUAUUGGGUCUAAAGGGUCCGUAGCCGGUUUGAUCAGUCCUCUGGGAAAUCUGACAGCUCAACUGUUAGGCUUCCAGGGGAUACUGUCAGACUUGGGACCGGGAGAGGUAAGAGGUACUACAGGGGUAGGAGUGAAAUCUUGUAAUCCCUGUGGGACCACCAGUGGCGAAGGCGUCUUACCAGAACGGGUCCGACGGUGAGGGACGAAAGCUGGGGGCACGAACCGGAUUAGAUACCCGGGUAGUCCCAGCCGUAAACGAUGCUCGCUAGGUGUCAGGGACGGUGCGACCGUUUCUGGUGCCGCAGGGAAGCCGUGAAGCGAGCCACCUGGGAAGUACGGCCGCAAGGCUGAAACUUAAAGGAAU